rnacentral:rRNA from 1 species
AGCGAACGCUGGCGGCAGGCUUAACACAUGCAAGUCGAGCGGGCGUAGCAAUACGUCAGCGGCAGACGGGUGAGUAACGCGUGGGAACGUACCUUUUGGUUCGGAACAACACAGGGAAACUUGUGCUAAUACCGGAUAAGCCCUUACGGGGAAAGAUUUAUCGCCGAAAGAUCGGCCCGCGUCUGAUUAGCUAGUUGGUGAGGUAACGGCUCACCAAGGCGACGAUCAGUAGCUGGUCUGAGAGGAUGAUCAGCCACAUUGGGACUGAGACACGGCC